rnacentral:rRNA from 1 species
GUAGGGAAUAUUGGGCAAUGGAUGCAAGUCUGACCCAGCCAUCCCGCGUGCCGGAAGAAGGCCCUCAGGGUUGUAAACGGCUUUUGACGGUGAAGAAUCGACAGGAUGCGUCCUGUUUUGACGGUAGCCGUUGAAUAAACACCGGCUAACUCCGUACCAGCAGCCGCGGUAAUACGGAGGGUGCGAGCGUUGUCCGGAUUUAUUGGGUUUAAAGGGUGCGUAGGCUGGAAGGUCAGUCAGCGGUGAAAAGCUGUCGCUUAACGAUAGUCUUGCCGCAGAUACUUCCUUUCUUGGAUGAGGAGGCGGCCACUGGAACGGAUGGUGUAGCGGUGAAAUGCAUAGAUAUCAUCCAGAACACCGAUUGCGAAGGCAGGUGGCUGUACCUUAAUCGACGCUGAUGCACGAAAGCAUGGGGAGCAAACAGGAUUAGAUACCCCGGUAGUCC